AGCCUUUCGGCUCAACCGAAGAAGUGCAUCGGAAACUGGGAAACUUGAGUGCAGAAGAGGACAGUGGAACUCCAUGUGUAGCGGUGAAAUGCGUAGAUAUAUGGAAGAACACCAGUGGCGAAGGCGGCUGUCUGGUCUGUAACUGACGCUGAGGCUCGAAAGUAUGGGUAGCAAACAGGAUUAGAUACCCUGGUAGUCCAUACCGUAAACGAUGAAUGCUAAGUGUUGGAGGGUUUCCGCCCUUCAGUGCUGCAGCUAACGCAUUAAGCAUUCCGCCUGGGGAGUACGGCCGCAAGGCUGAAACUCAAAGGAAUUGACGGGGGCCCGCACAAGCGGUGGAGCAUGUGGUUUAAUUCGAAGCUACGCGAAGAACCUUACCAGGUCUUGACAUACUAUGCAAAUCUAAGAGAUUAGACGUUCCCUUCGGGGACAUGGAUACAGGUGGUGCAUGGUUGUCGUCAGCUCGUGUCGUGAGAUGUUGGGUUAAGUCCCGCAACGAGCGCAACCCUUAUUAUCAGUUGCCAGCAUUAAGUUGGGCACUCUGGUGAGACUGCCGGUGACAAACCGGAGGAAGGUGGGGAUGACGUCAAAUCAUCAUGCCCCUUAUGACCUGGGCUACACACGUGCUACAAUGGAUGGUACAACGAGUUGCGAACUCGCGAGAGUAAGCUAAUCUUUUAAAGCCAUUCUCAGUUCGGAUUGUAGGCUGCAACUCGCCUACAUGAAGUCGGAAUCGCUAGUAAUCGCGGAUCAGCAUGCCGCGGUGAAUACGUUCCCGGGCCUUGUACACACCGCCCGUCACACCAUGAGAGUUUGUAACACCCAAAGUCGGUGGGGUAACCUUUAGGAACCAGCCG
rnacentral:rRNA from 2 species